ACCAGGUGCCCUGAAUCGGUUCAUUUUCUCGCAGCCAGGUGACUUGCUGUACUUCCCAAGAGGGACUAUUCACUGUGCUGACACUCCUUCUGGGAUCUCCUAUUCUACACAUGUGACCAUCAGUACCUACCAAAGCAAAUGCUAGUGACUUGAGACACCACUAAACUAUGGCAAUUCCCAAGAGCUGCAGACCUCCUGCUGUCUCCACUCAGCCUGGGAUCUAUGGCAUUAAUACCUUAAGAGACCCAUGUAUCACUCUGUCGUGGUUUAAGCCCAGCCACCAGCACAGCACUGCACCAGCUACUAAGAAGGAGAGAAAUGACUGCUACAGCUGAACCCAGGACAUGCUCCAACUCGUAUUAGUAACCCACUGACAACUAGAGAAAAGCAAACCCCAACAAGAUAACAAAACAAUGGAUACAAAGGACUGAAUCUGUAAAGGAACAUGGGCCACCCAUUGACCUUGAUUAUUAUGCCCACACUCACCUUGGUCUUCCUCUCACCCAGCUUAUUUGACUUGAGGUCCUUGAGCUGUGUUGUAGGUGCACCCAUACCUGGCUUUGUCCUUUGCUUUCCUGACUUGCUGAACAGUUUUCCUGGAUGAACUUCAGCCCUACAUUGUAGUCGUGUCAGCAGCCCCAUUUCCUGCUGCUCCUGCCUGGCAUCCCUGUGUGCACACUGGAUUUGUUCCUUUACCAUGUCCAGGCUUGGCAGUAAACCCUAAGAGCAAUCCCCAGCUGUGUCCUGGUGGCUGGGGUGACUGCCCUGCCUGCAUCACACUUGGCUCUGAGCUGAUCCCCUCUCUCAGAGCACCCUCUUCUUGCUUAGAUCGAGUGUCCUUCCUCAAUGUAAUCCUCAAAGACUGAGUGUCUUUCCAACUAGAAAAACCUUGAGCUUAGACCUAGGAGCUGAGCAUUCAAAGACAGCACUUACAGAAAGCAGCACAGGUUAGAAGCUAUCCCAUAUAGACCAUAGGGAAUGAUUAAUUAAAAAUACACAAGGAAAACAAUGGUAAGAUUCCCUGUAGCUCAGAAUUAGCUCCAUUAGAGCUUAUGCCAUUUUGUCUUUUGCAACAAGUCAUAGAUGUCAGGAAAGCAGUCAAGAAACAGCAAAUAUCAAAAGAUUCUUCCUUGCAUACAAUUUGGGAAGUAUAUAGGGAAGUAUAGGGACCUCUGAGACAAGGUGACAUCAAGUUGCUGUGUUUAAUAGCCCCGAGUGGACAUUCCCUCUGUGAUCUUUUGAAUCCAUUCAAACAGACCUCUACUAUAUCCCACAGUAACAGGUGCCACUAUGAAGUUAUCUUGUGUGUGAAAAAGCUCAUCCUUUAACCGUGAGCCUGCUUGCUUGCUUUCCACCUUCUGCAACCACGGAUCAGGAAACAAACCUCAAGCAAAAACACAAGGAAACCCAAGACAAAGAAGAUCAAGAGGAAAGUGGAGCCACAAGCACGAGUACCAAUUCCCAAGCUGCAGACAAACAGCAUUACACUUGUCCUCCUGCGCGUUUUACGACUGAUAUAAGCAGGCUGCGUGUUCCAGAAAACACACUGCAUGCAGCUCAGGAGCGUGAAUAAGCCAAAGCUCAGAGGAAGAGGGGGCCAAAGGGACUUGUUUUUGUCUUCCUAGCAGAAUGCAAGAGACAGAGUUCAAAUCUGGAUGUGUUUUCUUGUGUGUGAGGUAAACACAGGAGCCAGUAAGGGUUCCUGGGUGAAGUCAGCAUCAAUGCGAGGCAUGCCUUCCCACGGAGCACUCGUUUCUGUGAGAGCAGUAAAACAACAAACAGAGUUGAAAGAAAUAACAAGAAAUAAAAUACUUGCUGUUCUAA